CAAAUACUCAUUCGUGCUCGGUAAAUUUUUAUAUCCUAAUUGAAAUUUGAAAAUAAAAAUGCUAAUGUACGACUAGUGUUCUAAUUAGUUUUGAUUAGAAUGUAACGUGUGAUAAUAUGUAAGACAUAAAUUAAGCUUCAAAUAUUUUUAUAGUCAAUGAUAAACAUGGUAAUCGAUAAAUUUUUAGAUCCUAAUUGAGGUUUAAAAUGAAAUGGUAAUUUAUGUGUGUGUAAUUUCUAGUUCAUUCUGAUUAGAAUAUUACGUCAAUAUUAACUUCCAAUUAAUUCGAAUUAGGACGUACCAUUGGUGAUAAAAUGCAAGACCUUAACCAAUUAUAAGAUUUGAAAGAUUUGUAUAAUCACAUAUAAGGAAUCAAUAGAUCUUCACUAAGAUUUAAAAUGAAAAUGGUAAUUCACGAUUAAUCAUUUUAAUCCAUUCUGGUCAGAAUAUUUCAUCAGUGAUAAAAUAGAUUCUAAGAUUUAAGCGAUAUUAUAUUAACUAAAAGAAUAUGAUAGGAAACAUAAAAGAUUAAAAGAUAUAGUUCUUGACAAAUUGUACAAUAAUCAUUUUUCUGUUGCUUUUUUCUUUCUAAUAAUAGCAAUGACAAAUAAGGAGGCAAAACGCGGAGACGAUGAUGGUCGCAAUAAGUGGCGAACAGAACGGCAAUUUUCCGGACUGGUAAACUCGCAUUCUAAACGGAUGUGCUAUUAUUAGAUCACUGGAUUAUAGAAUUGAUAUUGGUUUCUCGUUCAAUUAACAUAGGAAAGUUUCUGACGAUUAAGACGGAGCAACGAGAUAUAUGUGGCGCGCAAUCCACUCGACGUUAAUAGGCGUGUACAAUUUAUAAUGCGCAUUGUGUGCGUAAUUAGAGGAAGAAUGGGCAGGAAGAAAUGGAUAACCAAUGCACACGUGAAAGGAAAUGCUCGUUUCUCGUCACGACAGCGCAAUAGCAACAGCUUGUAACUGAGCACCGGUUAAUUACACUGUUUCGAGCAUCGAUCGAACGAGCUGUUACCAUUCUUCCGCUCCUUAUCUAAA